AGAGUUUGAUCCUGGCUCAGGACGAACGCUGGCGGCGUGCCUAAUACAUGCAAGUCGAACGCUUCUUUUUCCACCGGAGCUUGCUCCACCGGAAAAAGAAGAGUGGCGAACGGGUGAGUAACACGUGGGUAACCUGCCCAUCAGAAGGGGAUAACACUUGGAAACAGGUGCUAAUACCGUAUAACAAUCGAAACCGCAUGGUUUUGAUUUGAAAGGCGCUUUCGGGUGUCGCUGAUGGAUGGACCCGCGGUGCAUUAGCUAGUUGGUGAGGUAACGGCUCACCAAGGCCACGAUGCAUAGCCGACCUGAGAGGGUGAUCGGCCACAUUGGGACUGAGACACGGCCCAAACUCCUACGGGAGGCAGCAGUAGGGAAUCUUCGGCAAUGGACGAAAGUCUGACCGAGCAACGCCGCGUGAGUGAAGAAGGUUUUCGGAUCGUAAAACUCUGUUGUUAGAGAAGAACAAGGAUGAGAGUAACUGUUCAUCCCUUGACGGUAUCUAACCAGAAAGCCACGGCUAACUACGUGCCAGCAGCCGCGGUAAUACGUAGGUGGCAAGCGUUGUCCGGAUUUAUUGGGCGUAAAGCGAGCGCAGGCGGUUUCUUAAGUCUGAUGUGAAAGCCCCCGGCUCAACCGGGGAGGGUCAUUGGAAACUGGGAGACUUGAGUGCAGAAGAGGAGAGUGGAAUUCCAUGUGUAGCGGUGAAAUGCGUAGAUAUAUGGAGGAACACCAGUGGCGAAGGCGGCUCUCUGGUCUGUAACUGACGCUGAGGCUCGAAAGCGUGGGGAGCAAACAGGAUUAGAUACCCUGGUAGUCCACGCCGUAAACGAUGAGUGCUAAGUGUUGGAGGGUUUCCGCCCUUCAGUGCUGCAGCUAACGCAUUAAGCACUCCGCCUGGGGAGUACGACCGCAAGGUUGAAACUCAAAGGAAUUGACGGGGGCCCGCACAAGCGGUGGAGCAUGUGGUUUAAUUCGAAGCAACGCGAAGAACCUUACCAGGUCUUGACAUCCUUUGACCACUCUAGAGAUAGAGCUUCCCCUUCGGGGGCAAAGUGACAGGUGGUGCAUGGUUGUCGUCAGCUCGUGUCGUGAGAUGUUGGGUUAAGUCCCGCAACGAGCGCAACCCUUAUUGUUAGUUGCCAUCAUUCAGUUGGGCACUCUAGCAAGACUGCCGGUGACAAACCGGAGGAAGGUGGGGAUGACGUCAAAUCAUCAUGCCCCUUAUGACCUGGGCUACACACGUGCUACAAUGGGAAGUACAACGAGUCGCGAAGUCGCGAGGCUAAGCUAAUCUCUUAAAGCUUCUCUCAGUUCGGAUUGCAGGCUGCAACUCGCCUGCAUGAAGCCGGAAUCGCUAGUAAUCGCGGAUCAGCACGCCGCGGUGAAUACGUUCCCGGGCCUUGUACACACCGCCCGUCACACCACGAGAGUUUGUAACACCCGAAGUCGGUGAGGUAACCUUUUGGAGCCAGCCGCCUAAGGUGGGAUAGAUGAUUGGGGUGAAGUCGUAACAAGGUAGCCGUAUCGGAAGGUGCGGCUGGAUCACCU
rnacentral:rRNA from 1 species